rnacentral:rRNA from 1 species
GUCCUCUUGUUUGUAUAGGAGGUCUGACCUGCCCGGUGAAAUGGAUUUUAACGGCCGCGGUAUUCUGACCGUGCAAAGGUAGCAUAAUCAUUAGUCUUUUAAUAGAGGGCUGGAAUGAAAGGUUUGACGAGGUUCUAACUGUCUCAUUUAAUUUGAGAUUAGAAUUUAACUUUUCAGUCAAAAGGCUGAAAUGAUAUUGGAAGACGAGAAGACCCUAUAGAGCUUUAUAGCUGUGGUCUAUAGUUAGUUUUUGUUUAUUAUUGCUAAUUAUAUUCCUAGGUAUUUUGUUGGGGUGACAAAAAUAUAUAAUCAACUUUUUUAUUAAUUUUACAUUGAUGUAUGAGUUCAGGAUCCAAUCUUAUUGAUUACUAGAUUAAGUUACCUUAGGGAUAACAGCGUAAUCUUCCUUCAGAGUUCAUAUUUACAGGAAGGCUUGCGACCUCGAUGUUGGAUUAAGAAAAUAAUUAGGCGUAGCCGCUUAAUGUGUAGGUCUGUUCGACCUUUAAAUUCUU